rnacentral:rRNA from 1 species
AGAACGAACGCUGGCGGCAGGCUUAACACAUGCAAGUCGAACGGUUGUAGCAAUACAGCAGUGGCAGACGGGUGAGUAACACGUGGGAACCUUCCUAGGGGUACGGAACAACUCAGGGAAACUUGAGCUAAUACCGUAUACGUCCGUGAGGAGAAAGAUUUAUCGCCCCUAGGACGGGCCCGCGUAGGAUUGGGUAGUUGGUGAGGUAACGGCUCACCAAGCCUACGAUCCUUAGCUGAUCUGAGAGGAUGAUCAGCCACACUGGGACUGAGACACGGCCCAGACUCCUACGGGAGGCAGCAGUGGGGAAUCUUGGACAAUGGGCGCAAGCCUGAUCCAGCCAUGCGCGUGAGUGAAGAAGGCCUUCGGGUUGUAAAGCUCUUUUACCAGGGACGAUAAUGACGGUACUGGAGAAUAAGACCCGGCAAACUUACGCGCCACGCAGCCGC